GGGGACGUAAUGGAAUCGACAGGAAAGAUUAUUCGUUAGUAAGCAUGCCGGAGUAUUCUAGUUCAUCUCCGUAAAAACUGACUAGUAACAACUUUUCAAAUGGCAACAGACAGUUCGCCAUGGCUGCCUAGUUCUAGGAAUUAGAAAGCCUUUGUGCCGUGCAUUUGACGCCUGAUACACAGUGUGCCGCAUAUCAACCAACCCUUUCAGGCUAGGCCCGAGGUCCACCCCGCCCUCUGUCCGAAGCUCAGGGGAUAAGGGAUGAGUAUAGGAGGGUUUCCAAUCCUUCCUCAUUCACGAAAAUUUAACUGGGAACUAAGCAUGUAGAAGGCUCUCGGAGGCUUUCUCUGGACGCGAGUUCGACUCUCGCCGUCUCCACA
rnacentral:tmRNA from 1 species